GCGCUGGUGGUGUAAGGCGUAACAUCGCUGCCCCGGAAGGCAGAAGGUGCGUGUUCGAGUCCCGCCCAGCGCA
rnacentral:tRNA from 1 species